UUACGGCCAUAUCACGUUGAAAUACCGGUUCCCGUACGAUCACCGAAGUUAAACACAGUCGAGCUUGGUCAGUACCUAGAUGGGUUUCCGCUCCGAAUACUAUGUGCUGUAAG